UGGGGAAUUUUCCGCAAUGGGCGAAAGCCUGACGGAGCAAUGCCGCGUGGAGGUGGAAGGCCUACGGGUCGUCAACUUCUUUUCUCGGAGAAGAAACAAUGACGGUAUCUGAGGAAUAAGCAUCGGCUAACUCUAUGCCAA
rnacentral:rRNA from 1 species